AUGUUUGAGGCAAAGUGCAACCAGGAUGGCAAGCAUGGACAGAAGAACUGUGAAUACGAGAACGUAGGAACAAAAAUACAACAGAUGCUUGUUUAUAACAAAGAUCGAUAGAAAGUGCUGGAGGAACUCGGCGGGUCAGGCAGCAUUUCUGAAAGAAAAGGGCAGGUGACAGACAUUCCGAUGCGGGAUUCUUCAAUCUGAAGUAGGGUCUCGGCCCGAAACGUCACCUAUUCCUUUUCUCCAGAGAUGUUGCCUGGCCCGCUGAGUUACUCCAGCACUUUGUGUCUAACUGUGAAUGUGAUCUUAUUGCUGUUGCUUCCAAAGCAAGCGAGAACUUGCACGACAGCCAGUAUCAACUGCAUGACUUCAAUGUUGCAACUUAUUUAUUUGAAGGUGCUCCGUCUGCAGACUGGUCGUAAAACCACUCCUGUUCCCACCUCUCUCUGGGCAAAUGUAUUCACAAAUCAACUUGCAGAUAAAGGUGCAGACCACAACCGGGGCACCUCGCAUUUCAUUCUAACCAUGUGAUCAGAGGAGCUAGUCCAUCCGAAUAGUUACCGCGGCAGCAUGUCGCUACGUUGUCUAGUUACCAUCUGGUGGAUUUUCCUUGCUGGAUAUUCUGCCAAUGAUUUGCAACAGCCUCAGAUGUCGAUCACGAAGCCUGUGGCCACAACCGUGAAGAUACAGUGUUUGGCAGAGGGUCUCGAUGAUAUCCAUUGGUAUCAACAACGCAGCGACCAGGCGCCCAGAAGGAUCCUGCGCUAUAGCAAAGGGAAAUCGGAGCGGGAUCAGGGAAUACCCGCCAAAUUCUCAGCCGAGGGAAGUGACUCAACUUUCUCUCUUGUGAUUGAUAACACCGACCUGUCUGAUGCCGCCACAUAUUACUGUGCCGGAUGGGUCUCACAGUGUGAUGCAAUGACAGGUGUUCGAUACAAAAACCCCUCGAGCCUCUCUGGCAGUUUGACUGCUCGCCGAGCAUUGGGAACUCCGGUUUAUUGCCAGGGGGAGCGUUCCCAGUCUAUAAGUGGGAUCGGUAUUGCAUUUACCAAUACUUUGACACUCUGCCUGUAGCGCUUGGUUUGCGCUCCAGCACCACGCAGUGAGGCGGAGAUCCGGAGUGAAAUUUAUCUCUGAGCUGGAAUAGGAAACGACAUCGCACCAAAUGGAAGCGGCAACUUCCUGGUGUGACAGAAGUGGGGCGGUGGUGAGACCAGUAGCCAGCAGCAUCUCAGUCGCCUGGCUGGACGCGAUGCCCCAACUCCUGAACAUGAGGGCGGCCUUGGCUGUCAUUUUGUUGAUCUCCUUUCUCUGUAUAUCGGCGGCUCAAAUAUUGACGCAGUCUCAAUUAUCGAUCACUAAAGGUCCAACGAAACCUGUCCACUUUUACUGUGAGGUUGGAAAUAUAGAUUUGGAAGAAGCCGUUAUACAUUGGUACCGGCAGAGGCCGGGGGAAGGGCUGCAGCGGCUUUUGUAUUUUAAGACUGCAUACGAAUAUCAGAAAGAUGUGGCGGAGGAACGAUUCACUGCUAGUAAAAUAUCUGAGAAAAAUUCGUGCACUCUGCUCCUGACGAAUAUCCGAGCGGAUGAUGCUGGUACCUAUUACUGUGCUUAUUGGCUACACAGUGGCCGAGAGCGACGGGAAGCCAGUACAUAAACCCAACUUGUGCGCAACAUGUUCAAGUGGUUCGAGACCAAAUCACAGGUGUGGCGUCUGCAGAUCUCCGCGAACAUCUGCGUAUACCGGGAGGCAUUCGGUUUUCUCCACGAUGUUAUUUGCAUUUUAUUUUAUAACUGGAAUGAAUAAAGUUGUUUUGACAAAUUAAAAA